UACGUAGGGUGCGAGCGUUGUCCGGAAUUAUUGGGCGUAAAGAGCUUGUAGGCGGUUUGUCGCGUCUGCUGUGAAAAUCCGAGGCUCAACCUCGGACUUGCAGUGGGUACGGGCAGGCUAGAGUGUGGUAGGGGAGACUGGAAUUCCUGGUGUAGCGGUGAAAUGCGCAGAUAUCAGGAGGAACACCGAUGGCGAAGGCAGGUCUCUGGGCCACUACUGACGCUGAGAAGCGAAAGCAUGGGGAGCGAACAGG
rnacentral:rRNA from 1 species